ensembl:lncRNA
CUCUCCAGCCCGAGAGAGGAAGCUGCUGGCCAAGGAUGCACUGAGGGAUCCCCCCCAAGCUUGCCGCCUCCCUGUUCAGAGCAAGAGUCUUAACCCCAGGCAACCAGAAAGGCGGGUCCUGCUGCAAACCCCGGAGUCAGGGGACCUCCCUCGGACACUCAGGAUGCAAUUUCCAUGGCCACGCAGCCCCAGCCCCCUCACGUCCCAGUUGAGACCGCUAAGCCUAGGGAAUCUGGGAGACCAGCUGGAAGAGGUGUCUCUGGAGCCCAGUCAUCGGUCUGGCUGCUUUCCCCUCGGUGGACAGGGACUUGGGCGAGCAGGGGGCACGAAGCUGAGCCCCUGAGGCUGGCCCGGAGAAGCAUGGGCAGGGACACUCACUCACAGCCAGCCUCUUUGGAGCCCAGGAAAGAGCGAUUCCUGGUUGGCCGUGCCCAGCCCCCAACGCUCAUCAUCGCUGCUAUUUCUUGAGUGCCAACAAUGUGCUGGGUGCCGCGCUUCACUUUUUAUACCCAAUGUCUUGCUUAACCCUUGCGCAGCUCUGUGAGACGGGGCCAAUCCCUCCACAGACUAGGGAACUCAAGAGACGUGCAUGGUGGCCUUCCCAGGUUGGCCAGUGGUCUCUGACCCAGCGCCUGCCCUCGCAGUCACUAUGCUAAGCUGCAGCCUGUGGUUCCCACUCAGCCCCUGUCCACUGUCAGAACCUGUGCCAAUCAAACCCAGAUCCCUGAGGGGCACCCUGUCUGCGGGCACUUGGACGCCCCCGCCGACCCUGACCUCCUGGAACUGCUGUCUGAGCCACAGGCGGUGGGGACGGGCCCUUGGACUGCCCCCCUGGAGUUUCACUCUUACCUCUGGCCACAAAGGCCAGAGCUCCCAGCAGGGGCCCCUAGGGUCUGGUGUGGUCUCACGCAACCUGUUUCUUCUGGUCAAGGACAUGGGUUUUUCCCAACAAUGCUGGGGAGUCAGGGAGGGAUGCAGCUGGGGUUCUGAUGGUUGUGGGUCAGACCUGGCUCCCUGAACGGCUCCCCCACCCCAUCAUGACAGAGGAAAUCUCACCAGCUGUGUCCGUGAGCAACCCUGACCCUGUUUCUCCAAUGCCUUUGUAGGAGUAUUU